rnacentral:rRNA from 1 species
CACGCCGUAAACGAUGAGCACUAGGUGUCGGGGUCGCAAGACUUCGGUGCCGCAGUUAACGCAUUAAGUGCUCCGCCUGGGGAGUACGCACGCAAGUGUGAAACUCAAAGGAAUUGACGGGGACCCGCACAAGCAGCGGAGCAUGUGGUUUAAUUCGAAGCAACGCGAAGAACCUUACCAGGACUUGACAUCCCUCUGACCGCUCUCUAACAGGAGCUUCUCUUCGGAGCAGAGGUGACAGGUGG